CCAAACAGUUGGAUACCAAUAGUCUGCUUCUUUCAAAUCAACCGUCCCAGCCAUGUAUGAUAGCAGGUUUCCAAAAAAAUAAAUGAUUCUUAUCUGCUACCUUUUGUUUCAGAAACUUUUCACUUCUCCUUUCCCUCAAUCCGGAAGCUUUGGCCGGAGCUUUUCCAGUGCGUGACGAACCGAUUCUGGGAUUCCCCCAUCAGGUAUCUGUGAUGCAAGGAUUUCCCCCUCCUCGUUCCAUACGAUUAAACCUGUAGCCGAUCUGGACGAUUGACGGUCAAAAGCUGCGUCAAAAUAAACUGUGACCCUUCCCCUUCUGUAUACCUGUUGAAUAUUACCAAUAGAAUAAAGAAUUAACCAAAGUCCACAGCAAAAGAGCCGGAUUUGCUCAUUAGUCCCUUGAGCGAUGACCAAGGGCAUUGAACUUCCACCACAACCCGCUUGAGUUUGAGAUUGACAAGGGACGAGAUGAAAUUCCACGAGAUCCUUCAUACUGUAAUUUGAAUUUUUGAAGGGAUGUAUAAUUUCCAUAGUUUUCUAUAGAAAUUUUUAGUUUCGGCAUGUAAUAUAAAAAUAUUAGGAUCCAAACUAGGCUCAUGUAAUAAUUUAUAGGCACUCCUAACGGAAAACUCCCCUGUCGGCUCCCUUCUCCAUACUUGAAAAUCUUCAAGUGCUGUCUCUGCUAGUGGGAUCUGCAAGAUUUUUUCCGCUACAUCCAUUCUAAAGAUAUUUGAUCACCCCUCCCCACCCUCCAGCAUAGUCCUUUUCUAGAAGCCCUUUCGUAGCCUAGACACUCUUCCAGGAAAACGAAGAAUUUGGCUAUUAUUCCCUCCAAUUCAGCACAAAGAGUCUUAGGAAGUAUAAAACAAACCAUCGAGUAAGUUGGGAUAGCUUGGAGUAUAGAUUUAAAAAAAACUUCCUUCCCUCAUUGGGAGAGAUAUCUUAUACUCCAAUUGUCAAUUUGUUGUUUAAAUCUGUCCUUCAAAUUUUGAAAAGACGAUCUCUUUCUUUUUCCCACCAUACUAGCCCUAGAUAUCGUUCUGGAUUAGAUGCUCUUUUAACUCCAAGUAUUUGUGAAACUACAACCCUUUCCCCUUUUUAUGUAUUUGUACUGAAGAAAAUAGUCAAUUUGUCGUAAUUAACACAUUGGCUUGAACUCAUCUCAUACUCUUUCAAUAUCUGUUUUAAUGAUUGUACUCCUCUUUAAGUAGCUUCUGCAAAUAAAAUGCAAUCACCUGCAAAGAGUAAAUAAGAGAUAGUUGGCCCACUUCGAUUAGCUUUAACUCUUUUAAGAAUGUUUCCUGCUCUUGCAAGCCUCAUUAGACUCGAAAGUCCUUCCCCACAAAAUAAAAAUAAAAACAGACUUAAAGGAUCCCCUUGUCUAAGACCUCUAGACGGAAGGAAAGUUUGUCUUAUGUUUCCAUUGAAAUUCACAGAAUAUGAUACUGUAGAGACGUAUUUCAUUAAUGAAUCAACCCAUCCUGGGUCGAAUCCCAUUUUUUUCAUUACCUCCUUCACAAAAUUCUAUUCAACCCUAUCAUAUGUCUUACUCAUGUAUAGUAUGACAGCCAUAAGCCUUUUUUUCCCUAUCUUCUUGUAUUUUAAAGCAUGUAAAAUUUCAUAAGCUAGUAACACAUUAUCAGAAAUCAACCUUCCUGGAACAAAAGUACUUUGUGCUGAAUCAAUACAUUUAUGAAUCACUACCCGAAGGCGAUUAGCAAUGACUUUACCUAUCAGUUUAUAAAUCACAUUGCAUAAACUAAUUGGCCUAAAUUGAGUAAUAUUGGAAGGAUUCAAAAUUUUUGGGAUUAGCACAAUAUUUGUUUGGUUAACCGAACGUAAUUCCAUACCUUCGUUUAAUCCUUGAAGGCAAAAAGUAUAGAAAUCAUCCUCAAUGAUUGGCCAACAUUUUUGAUAAAAUAUAGCUGGAAAACCAUCCUCUCCUGGUGCUUUUGUAGGUCCCAUUUUUUAUAGAGCUUCCUGUAUCUCCUCCUUAGUAUAUCUUGCCAUUAAUUUAUUAUUGUCUUCCUCAGAAACGCACCUGUCAAAUUCUAAAAAGCUUUUCUCAUAGUUAUCUUGCCUUCCUGUUGAAAAUAACUUCAUAAAAUACGAUCUGGCAAUUUCCUCCAUCUCCUUAAUCUCUUCUGUCUCCCUGCCAUCUUCAAACUGCAUCUUGUGGAUUAGAUUCUGCUUUCUUUUUUGUGUCGUUUGCUUAUGAAAAACUGUUGUAUUUUUGUCUCCAAGUUUCAACCAAUUUAUUCGGGCCUUCUGUUCCCAAUAGCAUUCAUCCUUUUCAAUCUCAAAAUUCAGAUGGAUCUUUAUAUCAAUAAUCUCUGCCAAAUUCUCAUCACUUCUGUCAGAUUCCAGUAGCAUUGUCAACUUUGAAGUUAAAACCUCUGUUUUCAUUUUUCUACUCCGUCGAAUCUAGCUUUCCUAACUUUCUAAACCUCUUUUUAAAUUUUCCAGCUUGUUCAGAAAAUAUCCUGUAGAAUUUUCCCAAAAACACCUAAUUUCUUCAAAAAAUGUUUCCUCCAAAACCCACCAAGCUUCGAACUUAAAAUUCUUUUUAACCAUCCUUCUAGCUCUAUAAUCUAUAUUAAUAAGAAGUGGACAAUGAUCUGAAAAUAAAUGUGGAAUGUGCUAAAUUAAGGAAUUUGGGAAUAAAGAACUCCAUUCUUCCGUAGCUACUUCCCUAUCUAACCUUUCCUGUAUAUUUGUUUCUGGCAAAUUUUCUCUCUCCCAAGUAAACCAAUUACCUGAAUAACCCACAUCCACCGGACUACAAUCUUCUAGCACCUUUCGAAAAGCUUCCAUCCUUCUUUCCUCUCUAGGUAAUCCAUGUUUCUUCUCAAAAUCAUAUAAGAUUUCAUUCAAAUCUCCACAAACCAGCCAUGGAUACUCUCCAUGAUUACAUAAUCGUCUCAACAGAUUCCAUGAUUCCUCCAUAUCAUGUGAGUAAGGAGAACCAUAAAAACUAUAAAUCUCCACUUCUUGCUAUCUCCUACAUCAUCAAUAAUCACAUCAAUGUGACGAUUUGAGAAACUUUGUAGCAUUAUAUUAACAUUCCCUCGCCAUGCUAAACUUAGUCCACCUUUAGAACCAAUCGAAUCAACAUCAAUUCCAAACUGAAAACCAUAACUUUUUCUAACUUUUUCCAUUUGCUUUCUGUUAAUUUUUGUCUUCAUAAAAAAGACCACUUGGGGAUAAUGUAACUUCAGUGAGUGCCAAAGUCUCCGAACUGUCUGAGGAUUACCCAAACCUCGAACGUUCCAACUUAAGAUUUUUAUUGCGACCGGUCGGCUUGCCUCUUGGCAGUCGCCGAUAAUAAAUGAGUAACUUCAGACAUUCUCCUGUUUCUACCUCCUAUAUUACUGUUUUCUUCAAAGUCCCCUCUAGCUCUCUUUUUCCCUUCCUCCCCUAUAACCACCUCAUUCUCCAGAUCAUGAUCCAUAGUCGUUUGAAUUUGAUCAAGUAAUAUUUUAUCCUUCUCUAAUCGUAAGGGAUCCGUUUUUCCUUCCAGGUUGAACCCUAAAACAGGGUCAAUAUCUUUAUCACAUUCAAUUCUUUUGACACCUCCCUCUCCACUAUUUCCUCUAGAAUCAUCACUUCUAUUGUUUUUACCGACUAUUCCUCCUUCUUCCCUUAACCAAACACUACUCAUUGAUUGGGCUCUUCUUGACUAUGCACGCAAAGAUAAAUCCCAACACAUCUCAGUAAUUUCUACACCUGCCUCCAUCUUAGCUUCACAAAAGGAAUCACUAUAACCUAAAAGGUCAAUCUUUCGUACUUAAAUUUGACAUAAGAUCAUUUGCUUCUAAACAUGACUUAUUUCUUCCUUUUAAGAGAGUGACGAAUAUCAAUUUGAACUCUUAUUCGCAUAAAAUUCCUAUUCUCUUUCCCCAAGCUUGAGCCAUCAUACUCUUGAAAAAUUCCGAUAAAAUUUCCCAAUUGCAUAGGCAAAUUUUCAAAAUAAUAACCAAUGGGAACAUCAUGAACUUAUACCCAGAAAGGUGUUAAGAUUAACAGAACUCUUAAUGGAUCCUCCCCCCAUUGUAACUUGUGCAAAAUCAAAAGAUGAUUAUUGAAUGUCUAGGGUGACCCUUUAAAACUCUUUUCAUAUCUAUAAUAUGAAAAAUUUUAAAUAAAUACUUUUUUUCCCCAGAUCGCUAAUUUGAACACCCCUAACAGGAUGCAAUAAAUUAGCCAUGGUGCAUUUCAUUGCUGGGUAGUGAAUAAUACUGGCUGUAAGAAAACAUCCAACCAGACUAAGAGCUUCUUAUUCCCUUACCAAAUCUUAAUCAACUUGUACUCGCAGGAUUGCUUCUUCUUCUUCGUCAAGGGUUAGACCAGCAAAAUCUGAUUCCAUGGAUGCAGGAAGAAAAACCAAAAAAAAAAAAACAAAGAA